AUUGAACGCUGGCGGCAUGCCUAACACAUGCAAGUCGAACGGCAGCACGGGUGCUUGCAGCUGGUGGCGAGUGGAGAACGGGUGAGUAUUACAUCGGAACAGGUACUGUAGUGGGGGAUAGCCCGGAGAAAGCCGGAUUAAUACCGCAAACGAUAUACGGCUGCAAGCGGAGGCCCUUGGGGCUUCGCGCUUUCGGGUUGGGCGAAGGCUGAUUAGCUAGUUGGAGGGGUAAAGGCCUACCAAGGCGACGAACAGUAGCUGGUCUGAGAGGACGACCAGCCACACUGGGACUGAGACGCGGCCCAGACUCCUACGGGAGGCAGCAGUGGGGACUUUUGGACAAUGGGCGAAAGCCUGAUCCAGCAAUGCCGCGUGUGUGAAGAAGGCCUUCGGGUUGUAAAGCACUUUUGUCCGGAAAGAAAACCUUGGCCCUAAUACGGUCGGGGGAUGACGGUACCGGAAGAAUAAGCACCGGCUAACUACGUG
rnacentral:rRNA from 1 species